rnacentral:rRNA from 1 species
GAUGAACGCUAGCGGCAGGCUUAACACAUGCAAGUCGAGGGGCAUCACGGGUAGCAAUACCUGGUGGCGACCGGCGCAAGGGUGCGUAACGCGUGAGCAACAUGCCCUAUACAGGGGGAUAAUCCAGGGAAACUUGGUCUAAUAUCCCAUAGCAUUUAGAGGUGGCAUCACCAUUAAAUUAAAGCUUCGGUGGUAUAGGAUUGGCUCGCGUGACAUUAGCUAGAUGGUGGGGUAACGGCUCACCAUGGCUAUGAUGUCUAGGGGUUCUGAGAGGAAGACCCCCCACACUGGGACUGAGACACGGCCCAGACUCCUACGGGAGGCAGCAGUGAGGAAUAUUGGACAAUGGAUGGAAAUCUGAUCCAGCCAUGCCGCGUGCAGGAAGACGGCCCUAUGGGUUGUAAACUGCUUUUAUAUGGGAGCAAUAAGGUCUACGUGUAGACUGAUGAGAGUACCAUAUGAAUAAGC